GAUGAACGCUGGCGGCGUGCCUAAUACAUGCAAGUCGAGCGAACGGACGAGAAGCUUGCUUCUCUGAUGUUAGCGGCGGACGGGCGAGUAACACGUGGAUAACCUACCUAUAAGACUGGGAUAACUUCGGGAAACCGGAGCUAAUACCGGCUAAUAUUUUGAACCGCAUGGUUCAAAAGUGAAAGACGGUCUUGCUGUCACUUAUAGAUGGAUCCGCGCUGCAUUAGCUAGUUGGUAAGGUAACGGCUUACCAAGGCAACGAUGCAUAGCCGACCUGAGAGGGUGAUCGGCCACACUGGAACUGAGACACGGUCCAGACUCCUACGGGAGGCAGCAGUAGGGAAUCUUCCGCAAUGGGCGAAAGCCUGACGGAGCAACGCCGCGUGAGUGAUGAAGGUCUUCGGAUCGUAAAACUCUGUUAUUAGGGAAGAACAUAUGUGUAAGUAACUGUGCACAUCUUGACGGUACCUAAUCAGAAAGCAACGGCUAACUACGUG
rnacentral:rRNA from 1 species